CCUACGGGAGACAGCAGUAGGGAAUAUUGCUCAAUGGGGGAAACCCUGAAGCAGCAACGCCGCGUGGAGGAUGAAGGUUUUCGGAUUGUAAACUCCUUUUGUUAGUGAAGAUAAUGCCGGUAUCUAUCGAAUAAGCACUGGCUAACUCCGUGCCAGCAGCGGCGGUAAUACGGAGGGUGCAAGCGUUACUCGGAAUCUCUGGGCGUAAAGAGCGCGUAGGCGGGAUAGCAAGUCAGAUGUGAAAUCCUUGGGCUUAACCAUAGAACUGCAUUUGAAACUGGCAUUCUAGAGUAUGGGAGAGGUAGGUGGAAUUCUGGGUGUAGGGGUAAAAUCCGUAGAGAUCAAGAGGAAUACUCAUUGCGAAGGCGACCUGCUAGAACAUAACUGACGCUGAUGCGCGAAAGCGUGGGGAGCAAACAGGAUUAGAUACCCGUGUAGUC
rnacentral:rRNA from 1 species